rnacentral:rRNA from 1 species
CGGCGGACGGGUGAGUAACGCGUGGGUAACCUGCCUCAUACAGGGGGAUAACAGUUGGAAACGGCUGCUAAUACCGCAUAAGCGCACAGUACCGCAUGGUACCGUGUGAAAAACUCCGGUGGUAUGAGAUGGACCCGCGUCUGAUUAGCUAGUUGGUGGGGUAACGGCCUACCAAGGCAACGAUCAGUAGCCGACCUGAGAGGGUGACCGGCCACAUUGGGACUGAGACACGGCCCAAACUCCUACGGGAGGCAGCAUG